AAUGCCGGAUGUUCCAGUUGAUCGCAUGGUCUUCUGGGAAAGCUUUCGCGGUAUGGGAUGGGGUCGCGUCCUAUCAGCUUGACGGCGGGGUAACGGCCCACCGUGGCUUCGACGGGUAGCCGGCCUGAGAGGGCGACCGGCCACAUUGGGACUGAGAUACGGCCCAGACUCCUACGGGAGGCAGCAGUGGGGAAUAUUGCACAAUGGGCGCAAGCCUGAUGCAGCGACGCCGCGUGAGGGAUGGAGGCCUUCGGGUUGUAAACCUCUUUUAUCGGGGAGCAAGCGAGAGUGAGUUUACCCGUUGAAUAAGCACCGGCUAACUACGUGCCAGCAGCCGCGGUAAUACGUAGGGUGCAAGCGUUAUCCGGAAUUAUUGGGCGUAAAGGGCUCGUAGGCGGUUCGUCGCGUCCGGUGUGAAAGUCCAUCGCUUAACGGUGGAUCCGCGCCGGGUACGGGCGGGCUUGAGUGCGGUAGGGGAGACUGGAAUUCCCGGUGUAACGGUGGAAUGUGUAGAUAU
rnacentral:rRNA from 2 species